GAUUAUUUUGAGCUGAAGGCAAUUGAGACCCUAUAGGCUCAAGAGAAACGUUUGCCCCUCUUUCAACUACAUAAAAGAAUCUAAAUCAGAGGAUCUUUCCAGAAAUAAGGGUUAUUACCAGAGAUAAGUUUUAUCUUGAGUCACCCAUCUGUAUGGCAGGGCAAAUGUUGGUUUUCCAAACAUGUACUCCUUUUCAGCCUCCUGUGAAUUACAUUCUUUCCCUUCGAAGUCUGAGACCCCCUACCCCCUUCUCCUUAGUUCAGAAUGGCAUACGUACCUCAUUUUGCCUGUCUUUGGAAUUUCCACGUCUGUGUGGAUUCCCUGUACGUAUGCUAUUAAAUCUGAUUUCCUCCUUUCCUCCUGAUUCUUAGUCCAGCUAGAAUGACCCUUGAAGGGGACAGGAAUUGUUGCCUCCUGAUGCUGGCUACGGUCCCACCAAUUCCUCUGACAUUACUAACCCAGAAGUUUAAGCAGAUGAGUAAUCAAGGAAUGCACUUUCCAUCUUGGAAUCUCCAGCCAGUGACUCGUGAGCAAAAUUGAAUGCGUCGCUUCUGGGCUACGGCCAUCAGUUCUGCUGAAAGUUCUCAAAUGGUCUUCCUCUGUGCCACAGUGAGGGCAACGUUCAAGAUGGCGGCAGCUCUGUCCCAGGGGUCCUGUCACUGAACAGAUCCCCUGGCUAACGUGCGAUCGACAUGGAGCCUAGGUAAGAACUAAAUAUUUACUGUUAAAAGCCAGUUGUCCUUGGGGGGCGUUUCUCACUGUGGCAUAACCCAGCCUCGCUGCGCUCCAUGGCGAAGAAGCUUACACUUGAUUCUGUGAACUACAUGUGGGGCUCUGGAGGGGAGUGUGGUCAGGCUUGCAGUUUCCAAAGACCACUCUACUCUAGCUCACUGGGGUUGUUAAACAUAAAUAAGUUUAAUAACAGGGCUUAAAUAUAUUCUUAUGUAUAUUCUUCAAUAUAUUCUUAGAAACUACGAUUUUUUUUUUUUAACUUUGAUCUUUUUUUUUGGUAAACGUUACUUUAAUGGUAGUUGUGAUGGUUGGUUCUAUGUGUCAACUUCACGGAGCUAAGGGAUGCCCAAACAGCUGGUGAAACAUCAUUUGUGGGAGCGUCUGGGAGAGUGUUUCCAGAAGACAUUAGCAUUUGAAUCGGCAGAUCAGGUAAAGAGAUGUCUUCACCUGUGUGGCCGAAGGUUCUGAUCAGAACAGAAAGGAGGAAGGGUGAGUUCUCACUCUCAGCGUGGGGACCCCAUCUUCUCCUGCCCUUGGACAUUGGCGCUCUCCGCUCUCAAGCCUUUCGGACUCGGACUGAAUUGUGCCACCAGCUUUCCGGGUUCUCCAGCUUGCAGACGAGAGGGGGUGGGCCUUCUCAACCUCUACCGUCACGUAAGCAACUCCUGUAAUAAGCCUCCUCUUACAUAUACGUCACUCUGUAUAUCCUAUGCGUUCUGUUUCUCCGGAGAACCCUGGCUAAUA